rnacentral:rRNA from 1 species
CAGCAGCCGCGGUAAUACGAAGGGUGCAAGCGUUAAUCGGAAUUACUGGGCGUAAAGCGUGCGUAGGCGGUGAGUUAAGUCUGCUGUGAAAUCCCCGGGCUCAACCUGGGAAUGGCAAUGGAUACUGGCGAGCUAGAGUGUGUCAGAGGAUGGUGGAAUUCCCGGUGUAGCGGUGAAAUGCGUAGAGGUCGGGAGGAACAUCAGUGGCGAAGGCGGCCAUCUGGGACAACACUGACGCUGAGGCACGAAAGCGUGGGGAGCAAACAGGAUUAGAUACCCCGGUAGUCCCUGUCUCUUAUAA